AGCAGUCGCCGCGGUAAUACGUAGGGUGCGAGCGUUAAUCGGAAUUACUGGGCGUAAAGCGUGCGCAGGCGGUUGUGUAAGACAGGUGUGAAAUCCCCGGGCUUAACCUGGGAACUGCGCUUGUGACUGCACAGCUAGAGUAUGGCAGAGGGGGGUGGAAUUCCACGUGUAGCAGUGAAAUGCGUAGAGAUGUGGAGGAACACCGAUGGCGAAGGCAGCCCCCUGGGCCAAUACUGACGCUCAUGCACGAAAGCGUGGGGAGCAAACAGGAUUAGAUACCCGGGUAGUCCCUGUCUCUUAUAU
rnacentral:rRNA from 1 species